rnacentral:rRNA from 1 species
UACGUAGGGUGCAAGCGUUGUCCGGAAUUAUUGGGCGUAAAGAGCUCGUAGGCGGUUAGUCACGUCGGCUGUGAAAACCUGGGGCUCAACCCCGGGCCUGCAGCCGAUACGGGCUAGCUAGAGUUCGGCAGGGGAGACUGGAAUUCCUGGUGUAGCGGUGAAAUGCGCAGAUAUCAGGAGGAACACCAAUGGCGAAGGCAGCUCGCUGGGACGUGACUGACGCUGAGACGCGAAAGCGUGGGGAGCGAACAGG